UGCUAUUGUGUUCACUUUGGCAGCUUAUUAAAAUUGGAAAAACAGUGAAGACUAGCAUGUGCACUGUGCAGGAUGAUUCAUAAAUUCCAGAAGCAGACCAUAUAAUU